AAUCCAUAGGUUAAUGAGGCGAACCGGGGGAACUGAAACAUCUAAGUACCCCGAGGAAAAGAAAUCAACCGAGAUUCCCCCAGUAGCGGCGAGCGAACGGGGAGGAGCCCAGAGCCUGAAUCAGCAUGUGUGUUAGUGGAAGCGUCUGGAAAGGCGCGCGAUACAGGGUGACAGCCCCGUACACAAAAGCGCAUGUGCUGUGAGCUCGAUGAGUAGGGCGGGACACGUGGUAUCCUGUCUGAAUAUGGGGGGACCAUCCUCCAAGGCUAAAUACUCCUGACUGACCGAUAGUGAACCAGUACCGUGAGGGAAAGGCGAAAAGAACCCCGGCGAGGGGAGUGAAAAAGAACCUGAAACCGUGUACGUACAAGCAGUGGGAGCACCCUUUGGGUGUGACUGCGUACCUUUUGUAUAAUGGGUCAGCGACUUAUAUUCUGUAGCAAGGUUAACCGAAUAGGGGAGCCGGAGGGAAACCGAGUCUUAACCGGGCGUUAAGUUGCAGGGUAUAGACCCGAAACCCGGUGAUCUAGCCAUGGGCAGGUUGAAGGUUGGGUAACACUAACUGGAGGACCGAACCGACUAAUGUUGAAAAAUUAGCGGAUGACCUGUGGCUGGGGGUGAAAGGCCAAUCAAACCGGGAGAUAGCUGGUUCUCCCCGAAAGCUAUUUAGGUAGCGCCUCGUGAAUUCAUCUCCGGGGGUAGAGCACUGUUUCGGCUAGGGGGCCAUCCCGGCUUACCAACCCGAUGCAAACUGCGAAUACCGGAGAAUGUUAUCACGGGAGACACACGGCGGGUGCUAACGUCCGUCGUGAAGAGGGAAACAACCCAGACCGCCAGCUAAGGUCCCAAAGUCAUGGUUAAGUGGGAAACGAUGUGGGAAGGCCCAGACAGCCAGGAUGUUGGCUUAGAAGCAGCCAUCAUUUAAAGAAAGCGUAAUAGCUCACUGGUCGAGUCGGCCUGCGCGGAAGAUGUAACGGGGCUAAACCAUGCACCGAAGCUGCGGCAGCGACACUGUGUGUUGUUGGGUAGGGGAGCGUUCUGUAAGCCUGCGAAGGUGGCCUGUGAGGGUUGCUGGAGGUAUCAGAAGUGCGAAUGCUGACAUAAGUAACGAUAAAGCGGGUGAAAAGCCCGCUCGCCGGAAGACCAAGGGUUCCUGUCCAACGUUAAUCGGGGCAGGGUGAGUCGACCCCUAAGGCGAGGCCGAAAGGCGUAGUCGAUGGGAAACGGGUUAAUAUUCCCGUACUUGGUGUUACUGCGAAGGGGGGACGGAGAAGGCUAUGUUGGCCGGGCGACGGUUGUCCCGGUUUAAGCGUGUAGGUGUGUGUUCCAGGUAAAUCCGGUUCACUUUAACACUGAGGCGUGACGACGAGGCACUACGGUGCUGAAGCAACAAAUGCCCUGCUUCCAGGAAAAGCCUCUAAGCAUCAGGUAACAUCAAAUCGUACCCCAAACCGACACAGGUGGUCAGGUAGAGAAUACCAAGGCGCUUGAGAGAACUCGGGUGAAGGAACUAGGCAAAAUGGUGCCGUAACUUCGGGAGAAGGCACGCUGACACGUAGGUGAAGUGAUUUACUCAUGGAGCUGAAGUCAGUCGAAGAUACCAGCUGGCUGCAACUGUUUAUUAAAAACACAGCACUGUGCAAACACGAAAGUGGACGUAUACGGUGUGACGCCUGCCCGGUGCCGGAAGGUUAAUUGAUGGGGUCAGCGCAAGCGAAGCUCCUGAUCGAAGCCCCGGUAAACGGCGGCCGUAACUAUAACGGUCCUAAGGUAGCGAAAUUCCUUGUCGGGUAAGUUCCGACCUGCACGAAUGGCGUAAUGAUGGCCAGGCUGUCUCCACCCGAGACUCAGUGAAAUUGAACUCGCUGUGAAGAUGCAGUGUACCCGCGGCAAGACGGAAAGACCCCGUGAACCUUUACUAUAGCUUGACACUGAACAUUGAGCCUUGAUGUGUAGGAUAGGUGGGAGGCUUUGAAGUGUGGACGCCAGUCUGCAUGGAGCCGACCUUGAAAUACCACCCUUUAAUGUUUGAUGUUCUAACGUGGACCCGUUACCCGGGUUGCGGACAGUGUCUGGUGGGUAGUUUGACUGGGGCGGUCUCCUCCUAAAGAGUAACGGAGGAGCACGAAGGUUGGCUAAUCCUGGUCGGACAUCAGGAGGUUAGUGCAAUGGCAUAAGCCAGCUUGACUGCGAGCGUGACGGCGCGAGCAGGUGCGAAAGCAGGUCAUAGUGAUCCGGUGGUUCUGAAUGGAAGGGCCAUCGCUCAACGGAUAAAAGGUACUCCGGGGAUAACAGGCUGAUACCGCCCAAGAGUUCAUAUCGACGGCGGUGUUUGGCACCUCGAUGUCGGCUCAUCACAUCCUGGGGCUGAAGUAGGUCCCAAGGGUAUGGCUGUUCGCCAUUUAAAGUGGUACGCGAGCUGGGUUUAGAACGUCGUGAGACAGUUCGGUCCCUAUCUGCCGUGGGCGCUGGAGAACUGAGGGGGGCUGCUCCUAGUACGAGAGGACCGGAGUGGACGCAUCACUGGUGUUCGGGUUGUCAUGCCAAUGGCACUGCCCGGUAGCUAAAUGCGGAAGAGAUAAGUGCUGAAAGCAUCUAAGCACGAAACUUGCCCCGAGAUGAGUUCUCCCUGAGACUUAGAGUCUCCUGAAGGAACGUUGAAGACGACGACGUUGAUAGGCCGGG
rnacentral:rRNA from 1 species